GCAAAACCCAGGGAGAGUCCAUGGGGUUUGGCCACUGCCAACAGAUCAGGGCAGAAAUGAUAAACAGAAGAGGCACAGGGAGGCAGGAGCUUGAAACAAGGAGCUACUGCCCUCCCCCGGCCAAUUGGCCACAGAAUGAAUCAUCCAUUAAGAUACAGGAAAGUUCACCACAUUCUCAGAACAGAAGAUGCUGGCUGCUGGAAAACAAUGUCAGGAGGUCUUGUUGCGUGACUUUGGCUAGAGGACUCCACAACAGCAUUGCUGAACUUUGCGUAGAAGUACAUGGAAAGCAGAAAGAUGGAAAGAAGAGCUGCUGUGUUCACCAACCCCAGGGUCCCUGUUUCCAUGGACUUCUUAUUUUGCAAGAUAAGACACUUUCUUAUUGUAUAUUAAACCCCG
rnacentral:lncRNA from 1 species